rnacentral:rRNA from 1 species
UGGGGAAUAUUGCACAAUGGGCGCAAGCCUGAUGCAGCCAUGCCGCGUGUAUGAAGAAGGCCUUCGGGUUGUAAAGUACUUUCAGCGGGGAGGAAGGGAGUAAAGUUAAUACCUUUGCUCAUUGACGUUACCCGCAGAAGAAGCACCGGCUAACUCCGUGCCAGCAGCCGCGGUAAUACGGAGGGUGCAAGCGUUAAUCGGAAUUACUGGGCGUAAAGCGCACGCAGGCGGUUUGUUAAGUCAGAUGUGAAAUCCCCGGGCUCAACCUGGGAACUGCAUCUGAUACUGGCAAGCUUGAGUCUCGUAGAGGGGGGUAGAAUUCCAGGUGUAGCGGUGAAAUGCGUAGAGCUCUGGAGGAAUACCGGUGGCGAAGGCGGCCCCCUGGACGAAGACUGACGCUCAGGUGCGAAAGCGUGGGGAGCAAACAGG